GCGGGGUGGAGCAGCCUGGUAGCUCGUCGGGCUCAUAACCCGAAGGUCGUCGGUUCAAAU
rnacentral:tRNA from 6 species